rnacentral:rRNA from 1 species
AGAAUCAACGCUGGCGGCGUGCCUAACACAUGCAAGUCGCACGAGAAAGGGGAGCAAUCCCUGAGUAAAGUGGCGCACGGGUGAGUAACACGUGAAUAAUCUACCUCCGAGUGGGGAAUAACUGAGAGAAAGUCUUAGCUAAUACCGCAUAACACUUACGAGUCAAAGCAGCAAUGCGCUUGGAGAGGAGUUCGCGGCCGAUUAGUUAGUUGGCGGGGUAAUGGCCCACCAAGACGAUGAUCGGUA